rnacentral:lncRNA from 1 species
AUUUUGAUAUUUUUAUAGAUAGAGAUAAACUAUAAACAGUAAUAAUGUACAGCAAAGUAAAACCUAAAUAAGUCAUCAUGACCAAAAAGGUCAAUUGACCCCUUAAGGAGUUAUUGCCCUUUAUAGUCAAUUUUUAACAAUUUAAAAUUUGUAAAUUUUCACUAACAUUAUCUGCUGUAACUACUGGGCCAAGUUCAUUAUAGAGAUAAUUGCAAGCAGCAAGAAUGUUCAGUAAAGUUAGAUCUGCAAACAUAUCACCAUCAC